rnacentral:lncRNA from 1 species
GUUUUCCACAGAGAGGACGCCGUGGCGCCCGGGUGCAAGGCCAGCGGGCGCGGCAGCCGCGUCACCCACCUCCUGGGGUACCCGACGCAGAACGUCAGCCGCUCCCUGCGCCGCAAGUACGCGCCUCCCCCCUGCGGCGGCCCCGAGGACGUGGCCCUGGCGCCCUGCACCGCCGCCGCCGCCUGCGAAGCGGGCCCCUCCCCGGUCUACGUCAAGGUCAAGAGCGCGGAGCCGGCUGACUGCGCCGAGGGGCCGGUGCAGUGCAAGAACGGCCUCUUGCUCCAGCCCACACUGUGAAGAGCCUUGUGCCCACAGCUGUGCACAUCCUGGGCUUCCUCCACACCUUGUCCAUAAACUGCCCCUCAGCUACCUUCAGACCCAGGAUACAGACGCAGCCUCCAGAAGAAUAAAUGCUCCAUUAGCAGCUGGCUGGAGCUGGCUGAGGCUCUGGCUGGUGACUCUGGCCUCUGGUGUAGACUUCCCUCAGGUGAGUGCAUGGAUGAGAGCUCUACCUUCUCCUGACUGCCCAGGCCUCAGGACAACAGAGGCCCUUCCUUCAGGCUGCAUGCAGAACAGAUGCAGGUAGCCAUGAAGCCAAAUCUGGAAGGAGAUGAUGCUUCCUCUGAAGAUCAGAGAACAGAUGCAAAAACUAUUGCUCAAGGAAAAUAAAGUGAAAACGAGGAAAAGCA